AGCGUACACGGUGGAUGCCCUGGCAGUCAGAGGCGAUGAAGGACGUGCUAAUCUGCGAUAAGCGUCGGUAAGGUGAUAUGAACCGUUAUAACCGGCGAUUUCCGAAUGGGGAAACCCAGUGUGAUUCGUCACACUAUCAUUAACUGAAUCCAUAGGUUAAUGAGGCGAACCGGGGGAACUGAAACAUCUAAGUACCCCGAGGAAAAGAAAUCAACCGAGAUUCCCCCAGUAGCGGCGAGCGAACGGGGAGCAGCCCAGAGCCUGAAUCAGUGUGUGUGUUAGUGGAAGCGUCUGGAAAGGCGCGCGAUACAGGGUGACAGCCCCGUACACAAAAAUGCACAUAUUGUGAGCUCGAUGAGUAGGGCGGGACACGUGGUAUCCUGUCUGAAUAUGGGGGGACCAUCCUCCAAGGCUAAAUACUCCUGACUGACCGAUAGUGAACCAGUACCGUGAGGGAAAGGCGAAAAGAACCCCGGCGAGGGGAGUGAAAAAGAACCUGAAACCGUGUACGUACAAGCAGUGGGAGCACAGAGCAAUCUGUGUGACUGCGUACCUUUUGUAUAAUGGGUCAGCGACUUAUAUUCUGUAGCAAGGUUAACCGAAUAGGGGAGCCGAAGGGAAACCGAGUCUUAACUGGGCGUUAAGUUGCAGGGUAUAGACCCGAAACCCGGUGAUCUAGCCAUGGGCAGGUUGAAGGUUGGGUAACACUAACUGGAGGACCGAACCGACUAAUGUUGAAAAAUUAGCGGAUGACUUGUGGCUGGGGGUGAAAGGCCAAUCAAACCGGGAGAUAGCUGGUUCUCCCCGAAAGCUAUUUAGGUAGCGCCUCGUGAAUUCAUCUCCGGGGGUAGAGCACUGUUUCGGCAAGGGGGUCAUCCCGACUUACCAACCCGAUGCAAACUGCGAAUACCGGAGAAUGUUAUCACGGGAGACACACGGCGGGUGCUAACGUCCGUCGUGAAGAGGGAAACAACCCAGACCGCCAGCUAAGGUCCCAAAGUCAUGGUUAAGUGGGAAACGAUGUGGGAAGGCCCAGACAGCCAGGAUGUUGGCUUAGAAGCAGCCAUCAUUUAAAGAAAGCGUAAUAGCUCACUGGUCGAGUCGGCCUGCGCGGAAGAUGUAACGGGGCUAAACCAUGCACCGAAGCUGCGGCAGCGACGCUGAUGCGUUGUUGGGUAGGGGAGCGUUCUGUAAGCCUGUGAAGGUGUGCUGUGAGGCAUGCUGGAGGUAUCAGAAGUGCGAAUGCUGACAUAAGUAACGAUAAAGCGGGUGAAAAGCCCGCUCGCCGGAAGACCAAGGGUUCCUGUCCAACGUUAAUCGGGGCAGGGUGAGUCGACCCCUAAGGCGAGGCCGAAAGGCGUAGUCGAUGGGAAACAGGUUAAUAUUCCUGUACUUGGUGUUACUGCGAAGGGGGGACGGAGAAGGCUAUGUUGGCCGGGCGACGGUUGUCCCGGUUUAAGCGUGUAGGCUGGUUUUCCAGGCAAAUCCGGAAAAUCAAGGCUGAGGCGUGAUGACGAGGCACUACGGUGCUGAAGCAACAAAUGCCCUGCUUCCAGGAAAAGCCUCUAAGCAUCAGGUAACAUCAAAUCGUACCCCAAACCGACACAGGUGGUCAGGUAGAGAAUACCAAGGCGCUUGAGAGAACUCGGGUGAAGGAACUAGGCAAAAUGGUGCCGUAACUUCGGGAGAAGGCACGCUGAUAUGUAGGUGAAGUCCCUCGCGGAUGGAGCUGAAAUCAGUCGAAGAUACCAGCUGGCUGCAACUGUUUAUUAAAAACACAGCACUGUGCAAACACGAAAGUGGACGUAUACGGUGUGACGCCUGCCCGGUGCCGGAAGGUUAAUUGAUGGGGUCAGCGCAAGCGAAGCUCUUGAUCGAAGCCCCGGUAAACGGCGGCCGUAACUAUAACGGUCCUAAGGUAGCGAAAUUCCUUGUCGGGUAAGUUCCGACCUGCACGAAUGGCGUAAUGAUGGCCAGGCUGUCUCCACCCGAGACUCAGUGAAAUUGAACUCGCUGUGAAGAUGCAGUGUACCCGCGGCAAGACGGAAAGACCCCGUGAACCUUUACUAUAGCUUGACACUGAACAUUGAGCCUUGAUGUGUAGGAUAGGUGGGAGGCUUUGAAGUGUGGACGCCAGUCUGCAUGGAGCCGACCUUGAAAUACCACCCUUUAAUGUUUGAUGUUCUAACGUUGACCCGUGAUCCGGGUUGCGGACAGUGUCUGGUGGGUAGUUUGACUGGGGCGGUCUCCUCCUAAAGAGUAACGGAGGAGCACGAAGGUUGGCUAAUCCUGGUCGGACAUCAGGAGGUUAGUGCAAUGGCAUAAGCCAGCUUGACUGCGAGCGUGACGGCGCGAGCAGGUGCGAAAGCAGGUCAUAGUGAUCCGGUGGUUCUGAAUGGAAGGGCCAUCGCUCAACGGAUAAAAGGUACUCCGGGGAUAACAGGCUGAUACCGCCCAAGAGUUCAUAUCGACGGCGGUGUUUGGCACCUCGAUGUCGGCUCAUCACAUCCUGGGGCUGAAGUAGGUCCCAAGGGUAUGGCUGUUCGCCAUUUAAAGUGGUACGCGAGCUGGGUUUAGAACGUCGUGAGACAGUUCGGUCCCUAUCUGCCGUGGGCGCUGGAGAACUGAGGGGGGCUGCUCCUAGUACGAGAGGACCGGAGUGGACGCAUCACUGGUGUUCGGGUUGUCAUGCCAAUGGCACUGCCCGGUAGCUAAAUGCGGAAGAGAUAAGUGCUGAAAGCAUCUAAGCACGAAACUUGCCCCGAGAUGAGUUCUCCCUGACUCCUUGA
rnacentral:rRNA from 1 species